rnacentral:misc_RNA from 1 species
AGUAGUACAGAGCAGGGUAG